rnacentral:rRNA from 1 species
CCUACGGGUGGCAGCAGUGAGGAAUAUUGGUCAAUGGGCGAGAGCCUGAACCAGCCAAGUCGCGUGAGGGAGUACUGCCCUAUGGGUUGUAAACCUCUUUUGUCGGGGAGCAAAAGCCGGACGUGUCCGGCUGUGAGAGUACCCGAAGAAAAAGCAUCGGCUAACUCCGUGCCAGCAGCCGCGGUAAUACGGAGGAUGCGAGCGUUAUCCGGAUUUAUUGGGUUUAAAGGGGGCGCAGGCGGAUUUUUAAGUCAGCGGUAAAAUCGUGGGGCUCAACCCCAUCCAGCCGUUGAAACUGGGGAUCUAGAGUGUGCGAGAGGUAUGCGGAAUGCGUGGUGUAGCGGUGAAAUGCAUAGAUAUCACGCAGAACCCCGAUUGCGAAGGCAGCAUACCGGUGCACAACUGACGCUCAGGCACGAAAGCGUGGGUAUCGAACAGGAUUAGAUACCCGUGUAGUC